AGGACGUGUUUUUCACGACGACGAAUCCGAAACAUAAUAUAUGUAAAACAAAAACAAACGAGACGGUACUAUAACUUAUACUGCGAUACACAUUUGUACACGCAUCGUGUUCGAGCUCAAAGCGUAAAAAUGACGCGCCGCCGUAUGACCCGGAACGGUAAUAAUUGCGGCUGUAGACGGUUUCCUUCCGUUUUCAAUUUAGCUAAGUGCUUCCUUGAUUCGGCCGUCACUGCACGCGCGACGAAUAUAAGACGUUUUAACG